AAACUACCAUCCUACGUUCCACAUCAACAGAGAACACAUACUGGCAGUUGUUCUCAGCCACAGUGAGGUAGACGACGCCGUCCUCCUCAUCAAGGAGGCUAAGAAUGGGGCACCUGGGCACCUUCUUGGGCAGCUUCAGCUCUUCGUAGGUUGGAUCAGCCCACACAUCAAUGAUACGGAAGGAUCCGCCUUUCUUCCAUACUGAGUUUGAGAUGCAGAGAGUCCAUGUUGUGAGGGUGAUCAGGUCGUCAAUGUCGCUGGCUGGAUUCAUGUGAACGAACCUGACAGUGUCACCACGAACACUGCACAUGGAGCUGAAGUCCCUUGGCCUCCCCCGGCCUUGCUCAGGAUGCCAUGACCGGGAGUAUCCCUUGGGCAAGGAUAUGAACCGAAACUUUGGAUCAUCCAUAACCUUGUCGCAGAUCAGGAUGCCCUUAAGGAGAUCCACCCAGCAUAUAGAAUUGUCUCCCAGCGCGAACACGACAUCAGCACAGAAAAUGUAAGCAGGGUCAGACGGGAGGGGAAACGGGAGCACAACCUCCUUGUUGAUCCACUGGCCUGCGACGGCGCCGGAGGAACACCACGUGAACAGAGUAGCCUGUGUUGACGAGGUGCGGUGGUAGAGGAGCUCGGCGAGCACGUACUCGCUAGGCGGGUCGUGGCGGAGGACGGCGGUCCCGGCUCCGACGCCACGGUGGGUGAACUGCGAGGCGGAGGACGGCGGCAGCGGCAGGACGGCGGCGAGGGAGUUGGCCAAGGAGUCGUAGACCAGGUAGAAACCCGGCGGAGGGAACGUGGGCCGGUACGGCCCGGCGUACAUGGCGAUGAUGUUGUGGUCGGCGCCCGCUAUGGAUGCGCCGCUGGGGAACUGGUUGAAGGUGUCGCGUGCUCCGGCGGACACGCUGAGCACGAGGGAGGCGACUCCGGGGGGGUGGGGGAUCUCGAGGUGGGGCUCGAUCCCAUCCAGGAUUGCAAGGUAGAGGGCGGCUUCCCAACCGCCGAAAGCCACCAGCUUGCGCACCGCGCUGGGGUUGGAGGCCCUGCGCUCGCGCAAGAUGUCCUCCGCCGGCCACUCCAGCUCUCUCCGGUACCGGAGGAGCCCCUCGGCGACCGCCCUUUGCUGCGCCGCCGCCCGUUCUUUCGGGCUGACUGACGGCGGGAACGGGAUGUGGCCCCAGAAGGGCGGGUGCGACGGCCCGCCGUUUUCCACGAUCAAGGCUGAUACCUCGUCUAUGAUCGGGAUGAAGGCAUCAACCAACACCAUGAACGGAUCUGGCGGAUCCACUGCUCCGUUGGUCAUGGACGGUGUGCGGGGCGACUGUAACGAGAUAAAAUAGGAUCUGAAGUUGGAUCUGGGGUGGUGCGAGCGGUAUAGAGGCGCGGCCAUGGCUUCGCAGCGGAUGCGGCGGCCCCCGGUAGGGGAGGAGGGAUAUCUCGAGGAGGAAGAGGGGAGCGCAAGCGCAAGACGGCGGCUGUUGGGGAUGGGGUAAAGAGGACGUGCGAAUGAUCUAGAAGCAAGCAACCCGCAAACGUAACGUGAUUGGACUGUGAUGUGAAUGCGUUAACAACUUAAUAACGUGUUUAACGGGAGCUCAUGUAGCAUGUGAAAACUAGUUUAAGGCUCGUAACUUUAAAAUCCAUUUAAUUCAAAUUAAAAGUCUAAGUCAACUUUUGAACACACUACAUUCAACAUUUUCUAAAACCUACGCUAACAUUGAAAAAUAUUAGAUUCAAUAUUUUCUAAAAUGUAGAUCAAUAUUUUGUAAAAUAUACUAUAUUCAACAUUUUUCAAUGUCUAUUUCAACGUCUAUUUCAACAUUUUCGGUCAAAAAAUGUCUAUUUCAAUAUCUCGACAAAAAAUUGAUUCACCAUUUUUAAGUCGGUCAAAAAAGAUCCAUUUCAAUGUCUCGACACAAAAUGAUUCACCAUUUUUAAAUAAAAAUCAAUAUUUUAAAAUACUACUUUUCUUCUUCUUCUUGAUGUCUGGUGAAUAGGGGUGCAGCAGUGGGGCUGCACAUGGGGGAUGGCGGCUAGCGCAAAGGGGGUGCAACGGCGGUGGGCGACGAGCGUGAGGGUAGUAGCGGGGCCGUGCACAAGGAAGACGGUGGAUGGCGUGCAUGGGUGAGGAAGGGGAUACACGCGGGCGUGGCGGCGUGCGAGCAGUAACAAAGCAAACAAAAGGAGGAGGAGUGAAGGCGGCUUGAUUGUAUAUGGUAUUAGGGUUGACAAAGGUGGAGCAACAUCCAUCGAAUGAUGUUGCAUGCACGGAUCUCCAACACAGAAAGUCCAGUACCAAAUGGACUUGAGCAAUAUUCUGACCGGGUCCAAAAGACUCAAUUACUUUUGAUUUCAAAAUCCGUGCCCACGAUCAUCACAAAUACAAAACUUGUUUUUUCAAGUCUACCAUGAGCUUCCCUUUUUAGAAAAUAAAUAAAACUAUUUAUAUAGAGUAGUUCAAAUUUUUCUAGCCUUAUGUUCCACGCCCAAAUGAAUAGUACCACUGGCCAGGCCAAAACUGUGGAUUCAGGUUGGGAUGAAAAUGCUCAGGUCCAAUUAACCCUAACAAAAAUAUUAAGAUAGUACCAACCCUGCACCUAGGAUAGUUUCUAUAUUAUUAUUCCAUUGCCAUAUAGGACUUUUAGCUUAUGUGGUACUAUAUGUAUCGGUGUUUAGUAUUGCCAACUAGUAAUUUGCAUUGCGUGUCCCUGACUCUCGAUGGCAAGCACUCAGACUCGAGGUAUUAUACUGGUUCGAACGAAUGCCCUACGUCCAGUCAGAGGUCGGAGUUUGUGUUCCUCGACCUCAAGAGCUCAGCGCUUACAACGUGACGCUUGCAAGCAUGAGAACAAUGGCGGAGGCGGGGUGCAAGAAUUUUUUAACACCCCUGCUGUAGUUUACGUGAUCUUGGACCAAAAUAUUGCUUAGGCAGGCUUAAAUGAAUUGUUAGCGUAAGGGCCCUUCAGUUCUUCAGUUCUUUGCUAGCUGCAGCGUGGAGAACCUGGAGACAAUCGAUCGCUCCGAGGAAAAAAAGAACGCGAAAGGUCAUGGCAAACUCGCAGUUUCAGUUCGUCGCCCCCUCGUUUCCCCAGUUUCCAAAUACCUAACUCUACCUCACAUCCAUAUCCAUGGCAGCACAGGGCGACGAAAAAGGGAGAUCAAGCGACUGAUUAAUUGCACCAGCCGCGCGAGACAUCGGGGAAAUCUCAAGACGUCGUCUCUCGGCCGUCAGGUUCUCGAGAUCAACUAAUCAAGAACUUAAAUUUCCUUCCCUUUGCUUGCAAUCUACGCUACCAAGGUAACUAGUGAGUAGUGAAACUUCGUUGAAUCAUUUUGUUUGGUUAAUUUCACUUUGAUUUACUUUGUGCAGUCAGCAACUUGUAGAUGGUAACUGAUCAAUUAUUUUCUUUGAAGGAUAAUCAUGGUACUAAAAAGGAAGACACUCGAUUCUUUUUACCGGAAGAAAGAUAGUGUGCCUGAUGUACUCGAAAACCCUGAACAAAUUGGAGUUGUUCCUUGACUCUAAGACAGAAGAAGUUGCUGCCUAGCUUGCUGCACAGCAAGGAGAGGAAGAAGAUGAAGAGGUCGCAGAGGAAAUUCCUAGGCAAUCACCACCUAAAGUUUAGAGAAUCAAUUCCGAAGGUAUUAGUGUUCUAGUAGUGGAACGAGAUCCAGGUCUACGUCGCCAAAUUUGGGAUUAUCCUCCCAAUGAACAAGACCAAGUUGUCAAAGCGUACAUAAAGCAUGGUUCAUACCAAUUUCUUAAGGAUGAGUACCCUUCUUCAGGUUCAAAGAAACACCCACACAGAUUUCAGGUUCAUUAGUUCAAUCUUUUUCUUGGUUAGAAUAUUCACCUUAGAUGCAGCCCGUUGCUUUCCAUGCUUUCUAUUUUCUAAGAAGCCGGUUAUAAAAGUAGGAUCAGAUGCCUUCACAAUGAAAGGGUUUAGAAGUUGAAAAAAGUUAGUAAUGGGAAAUAGUGUGCCUUCCUGACUCACAUGGGAAAGGAUUGUGGUCAGCUCAUAAAUACAAUGUUCAAUGUUACGAGAAUUUGAAGAAUCAGCCAUGUCAUAUUGAGCAUGCAGUUGAGAAGCAAACCAAUGAAGAGAUCAAAAAUAAUAGACUGUCUUAGAGCAUCAAUUGAUGCAAUCCGAUGGUUAGCUUCCUAGGCUUGUCCCUUCAGAGGACAUGACGAAUCUGUUGACUCAUAGAGCCAAUAUAACUUUAUUGAAACGGUAAAACUUCUAGCUUCAUAUGAUGACGAGGUCAAGGCAGUGAUUCUAGGUAAUGCUCCACAGAAUGCAACAUACACUUCAGCACAAAUUCAGGAUCUUAUUGCUAGUAAUGUGCAAACAUUAAUUCAUAAUGAAAUAAGAGAUGUUAAGUUUUGCUUGGUUGUUGUUGAAUCAAGAGAUGAGUCAAGAAAAGAACAAAUAAAGAAGGCUUUAUCAGAAAAUAGUUUCUUGACCUUAUUCAUGUUCAUGAUACAUGCUCUGAAACUCUCAAACAAGAAUUGUGCUCUAAUUUAGCUUAUCGUAAAUUGGAUGUUCAAAAUAUUCAUGGACAAGGAUAUGAUGGUGCUAGUAACAUGCGAGGAGAGUGGAAUGGACUCCAAGCAUAAUUUAUGAAAGUGUGACCUUAUGCAUAUUAUGUUCAUUGCUUGGCUCAUCAAUUAUAGUUAGCUCUUGUUGGUGCAUCCAAAGAAGUAAUUGAGGUUCAUAAUUUUUUUGAACAUCUAGCUUUUAUUGUCAAUACUGUUUUAUCUUCCAGUAAGAGAAAUGAUGACCUGCAUGACAAUCAAGUUGCUGAAAUGGAGCAUCUAAUUGAGCUUAACGAGCUUGAAAUUGGAAUUGGUGCCAACCAAAUUGGAACCUUGCAUCGUCCUGGUUGUACUAGGUGGAGCUUGCAUUAUGGUUCAGUUUGCAGCCUUUUGAAACUUUACAAGCCUACAAUACCUGGUGCUAAAAGAUAUUGCUACCAGUAAAGGUUCAGGAACUACAGCUUAUGGACAAACAAAGGCUGCUGGUGUUGUUACAUUAAUGAUGUCAUUUGACUUUGUUUUUAUUUUGCAUGUUGUGAAAAAACUCAUGGGUAUCACAGAUCUACUUUGCAAAAAAGAUAAAAAAAAUCUCAGGAUAUUGUCAAUGCUAUGGAUGAUGUUGCCACUACCAAAAAGUUGUUCCAGAAUUUAAGAGAUAAUGGUUGGAGAUCCUGCAAGGAAGAUCCACGUCGGAGUUCUGGAGCUAGGGUCAUCAAGAUCAAGGUAGGAUCCUGGAGGAGAUCUGGUGAUGUACAAUCAUUCAUGGUGAAGUAAUAGAUGUGUUCUUGUUCUUAGCGAUCUAAGUGCCUCCUUCUAUGGUUUUAUACUUUAUCGGGUUUGCUUGCUUUUCAAUCUAUGAUCGAUGAUAGAUUACAUAGGUGUUCUUGUAGUCGUGGUGACUAGAUUUGCAUACCUGAUCUACCAAUGAGUAUAACAUGUUCUUAUGAUCGUGCCCUUAGACUAUCUGUGCUGAUAGAAGUGAUCGUGAUAGGAUCUUUCUUGUACCGGAGGUGUAGAUUUAAAGAGACUUUUUGCCAAGAUCAUAUAUGUGUUGCUUUGCUACCUUUGCUCAGAAUUACAACAUAUGCGUAGUUUAGGUUGCUCUAGAUUGGUUACCUCUACUUAUCUGUUAUCCAUCUGUAUAUGCUAGAUUAGAUCUGAAUCACCAUCAACAUAGAGUUCAUACUAACAAUGCUUGUUAAAGUAGAUCUUGUGUUAUAAGUUUCUUGAAUUGAUAAAUCUUGGAAGAAUAUUCUAAGGGAAGGGCUACAACUAAUCCGUGCGCUUGCGGUCCACAAUUAGCAUGCUAACUGCCAUAAACAGAAACCGAUUUAAAAAACAAAAAAAAGGCAAAACAAAAAAAAAAGGAAAAAGUCGCUCGCCGGCCGCUGGGCCAGCUCCCUCGCCACACAUUGCUAGAUCCUCCACCAGUAGCCCACGCGCGAGGGGCAGCCAUCGCCGGAGCCGUGCCGCCCACCAGGCCCUUGCCGGCCGCGGGUCGGAGUGUCUUGUCACGCGAUUCCAAUGCUGUCUGGUUCCUAUGCUGCAUUGUGGGAGGCAUGCCUGGCGCUGUUCUGCUGUUGGCGCUCGUUAUUGCUACCCUUUUAGUGUUAUUUAAGUAGUAUUUUUGGAUUAAAUCUUAUACUAACCCGCCACUUGACACAUGACAUAACCUCAUAUUUGCAUAUGUGUUGUAUUUGGACUAUAUUGCAAAACAAUAGGAAAUACGGGAUAAUAAUGUCAUACAAGCGAUGAAAAUAGCAUCCAAAAAUGUAAAUCCGACUGCAUUGAUGCUCUAUAAGGCGGACACACCUGAACCUUUGCCCUCCCUCCUAAGUUUAUCAUGACUAGUCAGCAAUAGCAACCACAACAGUGCCCACGAAGCGCUCUUUAAAAGGUUUCCAAAAUUACUACGAGCAUCAAUAAAAUUCAUAGGAGAUGAAACUAUGGAUCAGUUUGGGAGGGAUUCUCUCAAAAUGACUUCACCAGUGAUAUGCCAAAGUUGGUAAAGUUAAAAGUAGUGGCUUCACCUAGUUUCAAGUUCAUUUUAACCUCAGCUCACAAAACGGCUUCAAGCUACAUUACCUCGUUUUGCGCAAAACAGGUGAAAUUGAAGUCGAAAUGAGCCCUCCAAGCGGUACCUAUACAUUUACCUCGUUCAAGUGCAUGGUAGCCUCAACUGCCAUUAUGCGGCUAAAACGUCGACCUCCAGGAAGUAACCUGAUGCCAGAAACUACCAUCCCACGUUCCACAUCAACAGAGAACACAUACUGGCAGUUGUCCUCAGCCACAGUGAUCAGACAACGCCGUCCUCUUCAUCAAGGAGGCUAAGAAUGGGGCACCUGGCGGGCACCUUCUUGUGCAGCUUCAGCUUCUUCGUAGGUUGGAUCAGCCCACACAUCAAUGAUACGGAAGGAUCCGCCUUUCUUCCAUACUGAGUUUGAGAUGCAGAGAGUCCAUGUCGUGAGGGUGAUCAGGUCGUCAAUGUCGCUGGCUGGAUUCAUGUGAACGAACCUGACAGUGUCACCACGAACACUGCACAUGGAGCUGAAGUCCCUUGGCCUCCCCCGGCCGUGCUCAGGAUGCCAUGACCAGGAGUAUCCCUUGGGCAAGGAUAUGAACCGAAACUUUGGAUCAUCCAUAACCUUGUCGCAGAUCAGGAUGCCCUUAAGGAGAUCCACCCAGCAUAUAG
rnacentral:lncRNA from 1 species